UACAGGGGGGGCAAGCGUUGUUCGGAAUUACUGGGCGUAAAGGGUGUAGGUGGCCAACUAAGUCAGACGUGAAAUCCCCCAGCUUAACUGGGGAACUGCGUCUGAUACUGGAUGGCUUGAGUGCAGGAGAGGAAUGCGGAAUUCCAGGUGUAGCGGUGAAAUGCAUAGAUAUCUGGAGGAACACCGGUGGCGAAGGCGGCAUUCUGGACUGUAACUGACACUGAGAGACGAAAGCCAGGGGAGCAAACGGG
rnacentral:rRNA from 1 species